GAGGACUGCUCAAGCAGAUCUUCCUUCCACAGCUUGAGGACCAGGGAAGCGUGCCCAGAGGAAGUCAUGGGUGAGCCAAGGCCCUGCUGGGACCAUGUGCACCGCGACAUACCUGAAGCCCAGCCCUGAGCCUUCCCACAAUAACUAGGGCCUGAGUCCCAGGUCCAGGCUGUCAUCCCCUCCAGUGGAUGACACCUGUAAACCCUGGAUGCCCAGCCAGAGUCCUCGGAAGCACCCUAGGUCUUCUUCCUUCUCCCUAGACUCUCCAGCGUGGUCCAGGCCGCAUCAUCUUGCGCUGAGACCAUCUCACUGCCAGUCUUCCCACCUCCAGCCUCGCCUCCCCAGGACUGUCCCCUCCCUCCCAUCUGCUCUUCCUUAAAAAAAAAAAAUUCAUCCUCACAUUGUGGUGACAUUAAAUGUGAUUUGCACAAUUCUUCCACAAAUAUCAAAUUAAUAUGAUUUUCCUCUCUAAUCUCC